UUAACAUUUAACCCCUAAAAAGAGGUUAAAUAUUAAUGAGGUUAAAAAUUAACUUACUCACUUUAAAGCGUCCAAACAAUAUUAAAAAUUAUAAGGUUAAUUAUUAACCCUUAUUAAUCUCAUACCAAACACACCCUUAGAAUGAAAAGCAAGAGAUGAACUCUUUUAAUGCUGUCCUGAUAUAGAAUGUAAACUCUUGACAAUAGCUCUCCUUAUUGUCAAUUUGACAAAAUAUGCUCAAUCUACAAUUUUGUAUUUUCCAUCUUAUAAGUGUCUGUAUAAAAUAAAAUGAGACAAUUAUCAAAAAUUGAAUUGAGGGGUGAUUGAAAAUAAAAUAAAACAAAACAUAUAAAAUAAAAUUAACCAAAACAAAACAAAAAAAACUUAGGGUGCCUCUCAAGAGUGCUAAUUUAUGGUCUUUAGCUUGAUCCCUUUAGAUAUGCUAAUCAAAAAACGGCUUCCUUCCAUAAUAAUUGUUAUAUAACAUGACAUAUGGAUCUUGAUAUAAAGUGCCCUCAAGAUUGGCAAAAUUUGAAGCAAAAUUGCAUGUAGUACGAACAACACUUGGAGUGGAAUCACAUGCUUGGGUUGAAGAAAGUUUUAGCUUAUGGAAGAUAUAAAAUGGUGAAGGAGGUAUCCAUGAGA
rnacentral:misc_RNA from 1 species